CAUAGAAUGGUUUUUGAGAUUUAUAGUUGGGAUAAUUGCCUAAAUACCUCUCAUACGUUUGAAAAUAUUCGAUUUAUUUUUUUUUUCUUUCUAAAAUAUCUCUCAUUUGUUCCAUCGUUAUUGCAAAAUACUCCCACCGUUAUCUCCUGUUAAGUUAACUUGGAUUAAACGUGAGUUAAAUAUCUAUAACAGUUAAAAAAAAUUAAAAUGCCAAUUUUGUUCUUAACUUAAAGGCAAAUAAGAAAUAUUGAUGAUGGUAGAGGAGUAUAUUGGAAAAGAUCAAAAGUCAAAAUACUUUUUGUGCCCCUAACUUUAAGGCAAAUAAGAAAGCCAGUAAUGAUGGAAGGUUAUAUUUGAAAGAGUAAAAUAAUAAUUUUAUAGAAAUAACAUAGUUUAUUAACAAAUUUUAACUCUAGGGAUAUAUUAAAAAUAGGUUGAAACGUAAAAUCGGUAUUUUCAAUAUUAGCCUUCUAAAAGAAGUAAAUUGAAAAGUCGAAAAUUUUUCAGGAGUAUAUAAGCAAUUGCCCCUUUAUAGUUCU
rnacentral:lncRNA from 1 species